CUGAGUUAUAUGAGCCGAUGAAGGACG
rnacentral:rRNA from 1 species